UAUAAGGAACCUUCUUAUAUGUCGUUCUCAAUUAAUUUCAGUAAGAGUUUUCUCUUCUUUUUUUGUCAAUUUGGUAUCUGUGUCGAUGAUCUGGGCAAAGACCUAAGUAGCUUCAUCUUGUCAUUAUUUUACUUUUCCUGUCUUCUGGCAGCAAUGUAUUUUCUGACAAUAAUUUGGGCUUUUCCUUCAACUUCUUUUCAAGGAAUACAUUCAUCAAAACUCUUUGUUGAUUUUUCUUUUUCCUGGUAUCAGAUUUUGGGUAUUGAACCCCUCCUAUUAUCAUUGAAUUUUCAGUAACUGUUCUGGAAAUGUCUUAUUCUCUUGUCUUUCUUUAUGGGUAUUAGGGCCUUGAUAUUAAGACUCUCUUAUAGACAUUGAAUUUCCCUUCAUUGUUUUGACAAAUUUUUCAGUUACCCUUCAGCCACCAAGUUACUCUGAGAGUUGCAUCAUUAUACUGCUUUUGAUGACUAAGAAUAGAUUUCUUUCUUUGCAUGCUGCGAGAAGUACUUUCUUUGUUGUGAAAUUGCUAAUGACAUCGUUUUGACCUACUAUUCCUAUGAUUGUUCCCUCACUUGUAACUCUUGCUGCGAUACGCACCUUGAAUUUCCAGUUUUGCUUUGCAAACUCAAGUUGUUUUCAUUACCAUGAGUUUGAUGAGGCGUAAUGAAAGUCAAGAGAAUUAAUGUUGUUAUAUGCUCCUCCCUCUGUCCCUAUUUAUGUGAAGGGAAUAGGAGUACAAGGGUCAAUGCACUUAGUUUUCUGUGUGGAUUGGAGCUAGAUUCUUCAAGUUUUUAAAAGUUAAAUUUACAUAUUUGAAAAUUGCAUAUAAAGUACUACAAGUUAACAUAGUUAAUGAUUCGAAAUAUUUAAUAAGUGUUCGAGAAAGUCGUAGUAAAAAAACUUUUUGACUCCCACCUUCACAUAAAAUAGAUUAGAGAGUGUAAAUAUACUUAGGCUAGUAGUCCGAGCUUUCCUAAUGAUUGUCUUACUUAGGAAAUUUGGAAAAAAGGGAAGUUUCCAUAGCUUAAAUUUUUGUUAUUUCAUAUAUUCUAUAUGUUUCCUUAUCUCAUGUAAUCUAACUUGCUAUAUAAGAAGCUCUGUCAUUUGUACAAUAAAAAUUUUCUUUCUUCUUUUUCUCAUCAUGUAUCACAAAGUAGAGAAAGAUGUUUCAAGUUGAUGCUUAAAGGGGGGAUUUGGUUAUUGGCCACUAUUCAGAUGCCUCUAAAGCUGAUAAUAUUGCACUUCUGGAGUUUUUUCUUUUCCUUUUUUUUUUGGUUGAAAGAAAGGUAAGGAAUAAUGCACUUCUGGAAUCUGGAGUUAUUAAACUAAUUCUUCACUCUAUCGGGUUUCUUGAGCCGAGGGUCUAUCGGAAAUGGCCUCUCUACUUUUUAGGUAGAGUUAAGGUCUAUGUACAUACUACCCUCCCCUGACCUCACUUGUGGGAUUAUACUGGUUUGUUGUUGUUGUUGUUGUUGUUAACUCGAUCGGAUUUCACAUUAGUUUUAACUAGGGAUAGUAGCUGGGAGAGUACCCUAAGGUCUAUAAUGCACCAACCUCCCUAAAGCUCAUAGCCAAUGCUGAACCUUAGCACAUGGAAUAUUUUUGCAGCCUAUCCUUGGUCCAAUUCAAAAUCAUGUUUUGCUCCUUUACGAGAAAAAGAAUAUAACUUAGGGGUGAAAAGGUGCACUUUUCAUAAUGGGUAACAUUUUCUUCACGAGUAUAAAUGCACUAAUGAGGUGUUACAUUUUCUUAAACAAAAUUGUUUUCAAAGAAGUCCAUAAAAUACAAAGAGCUUGCUUAUCCAUCUACAUUACUCUCUUCAGUGUCUGGUAUUAAAAGUCAUUGCUUCGUCGCGUAAAGCGAUGAAUCGAUACAAAGCGAGGGUUGUCGUUUAAUAGGUGAGGCUAUGUGCUUCAGCGAGGUGUGCGCUUUAAAUAGUAACUCACAAAGUGAUCCAAACACAUCUCAACAUUGAGGAGUUAGAUUAAUAUAUGGAUAUAAAAAAAAGGAGUUAGAUUUAUAACGGUAUUCUGGUAUAUUGGAUGCUGAAAUUAGUUGUUUUGAUUGCAAUUUGUUAUUAUAGUCCUAAAUUCAUAUAUGCUUUGUAUUUUUAAAUUUUUUGUAAUUGUGCGCUCUACUUCAAAGAAGCGUGCACUUCACUUCUUGCUUUUCACUUCAAGGCCUAUGGACCUUAUUGCUUCUUUGCGCUUUUCGCUUAAGUAGACGUCUUGGCUUCAUACCAAAAACUUGCAAUUGGAGGAAGCUUCUUCCCUGUGUUUGACACACUUAUAAGAAGCUUUUCCAUGUCAGUGUGCUUCAUUACAUUGUCAUUCCUGUGUAUGAUACAUUUAAUUUUAUUAAUAAUUCAGUGUUUAAAAACUAUUGUUUUUGUGGAUCCUAAGUUAUAAGCAAUUCAGUUUUACAAUUAUGAUCUUUUAUUUUUUCCUUUUGUGUCAGAAAGCUAUGAACUCAACUUUGAGCCCUCGGUUUAAUCAACAAAUCUUCUUUUCGUCUAACAAUGCCUGAAAAAUCUUGCCAAGUAGACACAGUCAAAGAGAUAUCUACUCUGAGGCAGUUGAAUUUUCUGAAAUCUGUUGCUCUUUCUGUUGUGUCAAACUAUCAGAUUCUCCCUCCACAAAAGCUUGUCAAAAUGGUUUGAUGCUGGGCAAAUUUUUGUGUUAUUUUAAGUAUUUCUCCAUCCCCAACUAGUACGGGAGUGAGGAUGGGUAGUUUUUAUUGGAUGUAAUCCAUGUUGCAUAGUUUGACUAAAAUAAACUGUGGAGGCUACAUAUUGAUUUACCUCUCCAAGGUGCCUUCUACACAUGGUCUAGGGGAGAAGACAUUUAUCAGGCAUCUAGAAUAGAUAGAUUUCUUAUAUCCCAGAGUGGAAUGAAUGCUUUAAGGAUGUGAAACAGAUUGCCCUUCCAAGAGUUUUUUCUGAUCAUAAACCUUUACUUCUGGAGAGUGGGGACUCGGAGGUGAAUCCAUCUUACUUCAAAUUUGAGAACAUGUGGUUAAAAGUAGAUGGAUUCAUAGAGAAUAUUGAAGAGUGGUGGAAUAGCUAUAUCAUACAUGGGAGUCCUUGAUGCGCUCCAACAACGAUGACUAUGCCACCACACAAGCAAAAACCCGGCUAGGUUCCGAAACAUCCAACCUCACGAACUUCUUGGCCAAACUAUGCAAGGUUGAGAGUAUUCUAAUUCAGAAAUUGAGACUAUUGAAGAAAGACAUCUCCUGCUGGAAUAAGGAAGUCUUUGGCAAGGUUGAGUCAAGAAAGAGCAAAGUUUUAGAUGAACUUUUAGUGUUGGAACAAGUCACGGAGAAUAGGGUUCAAACUGUAGAGGAAAAAAGCAAAAUGUUUGCUUUUAAAUUAGAAUUGGAGCAGAUAGCAAAAGCUGAGUAGAUUUCAUGGAGACAGAAGUCCAAGUGCCUAUGGCUCAAAGGAGAUAGGAACACCAAAUACUUUCAACGAAUUGCGACCUCCCAUAGAAGAAAUAAUUGCAUUGACAGACUUAUGGUUGAUUAUGAGAUUAUUUAAGAUAAGGAGUAGAUAAAAGGGGAAAUUCUGGAUUUUUACCAACAAUUAUACAAUGAGUCUGAACAGUGGAGACCUACAGCUAGUCUUGAUGAUCUAGAAAGAAUAUCAGAAGAAGACAAAGCAUGGUUAGAAAUUCCUUUUGAGGAGGAGGAGGAGGUCCUUUCUACUAUUAAAGCAUGCUUUCCAGAUAAGGCUCCAUCCAGAAAGCAUGGUUGAUCAUUAAGGAAGAGGUGAUGGCUGCCCUGAAUUUCUUUCAUCAUAACUGUCACAUGAUGAAGUCUUGCAAUGCCUCUUUUAUAGCCUUAGUUCCCAAAAAGAAGGGAGCCAUUGAACUCAAGGACUAUAGACCAAUCAGUCUGAUUGGUAGUGUUUACAAAAUAGCAGCCAAACUACUUGCAGAAAGGCUCAAGAAAGUGGUUGGUGGUCUGGUUUCUGGACAUUAGAAUGCCUUUAUAAAAGGCAAACAAAUCACUGAUGCAGCCCUCAUUACAAAUGAGAUAUUAGACUGGCAAUUGAAGAAUGGAAAUCCUGGUAUUUUAUGCAAGCUAGAUGUGGAAAAGGCCUUUGAUAAGGUGAAUUGGGCAUAUCUUCUAACUGUGCUUAGGAAGAUGGGCUUUGGUGACAGGUGGAUUAAAUGGAUGAAGUUUUACAUUACCACAGUUAAAUUCUCCGUACUUGUCAACAGAGGGCCAGUGGGAUUCUUUUCCCCUCAGAAGAGACUUAGACAGGGGGACCCUCUCUCUCCUUUCCUUUUUAUUCUGGCCAUGGAAGGCCUUAGCAAGAUGUUUGACAAAGCGAAGCAACUCCAAUGGAUUAGUGGCUUUCAAGUGGGGCACAACUCUGGACCAUCUCUCUUAGUAUCUCAUUUGCUUUAUGCAGAUGAUACUCUGAUCUUUUGUGGGGCUGAAAGAUCCCAAGUCCUAUACCUUAAUCUAACUUUGUAUUUGCUUGAAGCUAUUUUAGGCUUGCACAUUAACAUGGCAAAAAGCACUAUCUACCCUGUAAAUGAAGUCAACAAUCUGGAGGAUUCAAACAAAAUUGUAACCGUGCCAAAGUAUCAGGAACCUAGGAAAUUGUGAUGCAGCUUUCCCAACAAAAUUGUAAAGCAGCUUGACAAGAUCAGGGGAACGUUUCUAUGGGAGGGAGGCAGCAAAGCUUUUCAUCUAGCCAAGUGGUCAAAGGUCACCGUGCCAAAGUAUUUGGUGGCCUAGACAUCAGAGAUCUUUCCAUCCACAACAAAUGCAUGCUGAUGAAAUGGCUAUGGAGAUACAAUCAAGAGGAGAAUUCACUAUGGAAAGAGGUGGUCAGGGCCAAGCAUGGGUCCGAGAAUCAUUGGUGUACUAAGCUGUCCAGAAGCCCAUAUGGGGUCGGUCCAUGGAAGAACAUUAGGAAGCUCUGGAGUGAAUUUUCCCGGAACUCCUAUUUUAAAUUGGGCAAUGGCAAUCACAUAAAGUUCUGGAAAGAUAAAUGGUUUGAAGGAUCCAUCCUGAUGUUUGACUUUCCUAGCCUCUAUCAGAUAGCUCAGAAUCAAGAUUCCACUAUUUCUCGCAAUUGGCAAGACAAUUGUUGGCACAUUCUUUUCAGGAGGGAUAUGCAGGACUGGGAGCUUCCACAACUUCUAAAUCUGCUGGCAAAAUUGGAAGGCUUCUCAGACAAGGAAAAUACUUUUGACAGUAUAAGGUGGGGAAGUUCCAAGGAUGAUCUUUACACUGUGAAAGCAGGCUACACUCACUUUUGCUCCACCAAUGAAAUCAUUGAUAGAUGGUCUUGGAAAUACAUCUAGAAGACCAAGCUACCUACAAAAAUCUCCUGUUUUAGUUGGAUAGCCCUAAAUGAAGCAUGCCUAACCCAGGACAAUAUCAUCAGAAUAAGUCAAUUGGCCAACAGAUGUUAUAUGUGUUUGCAGCAGCCAGAAUCCAACAUGCAUCUCUUUCUUCACUGCCCAGUUGCAGCAGAUAUCUGGUGUAUGUUCUUUGCCAUCUUUUAUUUAAGCUGGGUCAUGCCUUAGAACAUUAAGGAUGCCUAUGAAAGCUGGUCUUCAUGGAAAGUUGAUAACUCCAUCAGUAAAGUUUGGCAGAUGAUCCCUUCUUGUGUUUUGUGGUGUGUUUGGACAGAAAUGAAUCACAAAUGUUUUGAUGGGGAUAUCAACUCCUACAUAUGCACUUAAGGCUAGAUGUCUUUUAUGGUUAUAUAGUUGGCAGAACUUAGCUCCUGUCAAUUGUCCUAUUAAUCUUUUGGACUUCGUAAGCUCCUUAGCUUUAGCCUAGUUUUUGUCUGCAAAGCUGACUGUGUCUUUAUGUAUCUCUCUUUUGUACUUCUUGCAUCUUCUUGAAGCCUUUAAUGCAGUUCUCUUACUUCAUCAAAAAAAAUAUGUGGAGGCUACACCAGCUUUAGGAUUAUUGCAACUAUCUUUUAGGACAUAAUUGCCCCUUACUAGAAUUGCUUAGUUGCAUAUGAAUUCUUAGUAGGAAUGUCGGCUGUAAUGCCAAACCCAAUUGAUGGAUCUAAAGUGUCCCAUGUUUAUUUAGGAAAAAAAGAGAGGAAUACACUAGCCAAGUUAUACAAGUCAACAAACUUCUACAAGAUUUGCCUUUUGAGGGUAGUUUGCAAUGGUUAUGGCAUGAGAUUUUUAUUCCAAAAAGGACAUUUGAUUAGGAAAAAGAAAGAGGAAUACACUAGCCAAGUUAUACAAGUCAACAAACUUCUACAAGAUUUUCCUUUCGAGGGUAGUUUGCGAUGGUUAUGACAUGAGAUUUUUAUGCCAAAAAAAGGACAUUUUAUUUCUUUCCACAACAACCUAAACUUAUGCUUCUAAAAAUUUGUUGAACCAGAUCCUUGUGCAUGCGAUCUUCCCAGAUUAACCAAAUUAUAGCCUGUUUGGCCAAGCUUCUUCAAACCUAGAAGCACUUUUUUUCUUCUUUUUUUUUCAAAGUUGAAGUGUUUGGCCAAGAUUUUUAGAGAAAAAAAGUACUUUUGAGGAGAAGCAGAAUUAGUUUCGGAUAAACAGAAAAAAACAGCUUCUCCCCAAAAGCACUUUCUUGAAAAGCACUUUUGAGAAAAAUGCACUUAGAAGCACUUUUUAAAUGCUUGACCAAACACUAAUUGCUGCCCAGAAGUGCUUUUCAAAUUAAUUAGCCAAACACAAACUGCUUCUCGCCAAAAGUACUUUUUCAAACAUGCUAUUAUUCUGUUGCAUAACAAGGAAUGUGAAUAAAGUUCUUUUCUUUGAGGAGCUAUGUGAUUUGGGAGUUUGUGCAUUAACUUUGUAGUCUGAUAGGGUGAAUAAGAUGAGAUCAAUUCAGGUUUGCUUCUUGGCAGUGGCUUCUAUAGGUAAGAAAAGUUCAUUAUCCUUGUUAAUGUCGUCUUUGUCCUUCUCCUUCAUCCCUCAGAAAAUAGCAGCAUUGUCCCUUGACUCAAUUCCGCCUAGCUUACCAUCAUGAACAACUUUUCUGAUUUAUUUGUUAAAUGAGGUCAUUAACAUUGGAUUUAAAGAUUGAAUUGUCUGUGACUAAACUGCUGACACUUCUGCCUUUUACUCCUGAAGAGUCUAAGAAGGAUCAUUCUGCCUUUAUUGAGGACUGGUUUGGAGAGUGGUGUGGUGGUUAUCAGUCCUGUCACAUCCUUCCAAAUUUUGGAUUAUUCCACACUACUAUAGUUUGCUUGAGUUGGUUUCUGAUGUACUUGUAAUGUCUUUACUCCUCUCAAUCUCUUUCUUGAGCAUCUUUAUUGCAUGGAUCAUUUAGGUCAAAGUUAAAAAAAUUGCUAAUGAGUGAUGACACAUAUGAAUCGAGCAUACCGGGAGACAUUGUUUAGCUCCUGCUGCCCAAACAGAAGUGACACUCCGGGGAUGUUUUAAUUAUUUUUUCAAUUUCUCUUUUCAAAAUUAUAUUACAAUUUACAACCAAGUUUAGGGCUUGGCUGAGAUGAUGAAUCGCCCUUACCGCUUCUAGGCCUGUAUUACGUUUGAGACAUAUAGCUUUCUGUAUGGCUGCAUACUGCAGCAGCUGUAAGAGGGUGGUCUUAUAAGGCAAGUAAUGCUGGAAACUAAUUCUUUUUCUUAUAAUUAUGAUGAUGACAUUAGUUGAACUUAAAUGGAGAAACAUGGUUAGUGAGGAUUCAUAGCCUACCCCGACUUGUUUGGGGCUGAGACAUAGUUGUUUUUGUUGUUUUGUCCUCCAUUUGGCCCUUCUGCUAAUUAUGCAGAUAGGUUGCACACUUUCGACGUUUCCUUUCCCAAAGAUAUCCAUACUGGUGUUUCAUAUCCAUACUGCUUUUUACUGCCUAAAGAUAUAAAGGAAAGACAGAAAAUCAAAGAGAAUAUUGUUUGUUAGUAGUAUUAUGCAUUGUUUAUAGCAUAUGAUCAUUUGAAGGGUUUUGAACCUUUUAGGUUUUUGCCUAAGCUACCAUCUAAUGACAUCAUGUUUUAGGAAGGAAUUUUAUGGGCUAGUUGAGACUCUGAAAAAUCAAAUAUGGAGACUUUGUUGGGUUCUGUUUGCUUGUAUUUGUUUUGAUCUUUUAAGUGAUUUUUUUUGGAGCUGAAAUGCAUGCCCGAGAUAUCUAAAACAGUGAUGCACUCUAUUUUUUUUUAUUAUAUGAUUUCUGUUGACUAAAUUAUUUGACCUUUAUAUUUCAUUUUGCAGGUACUGUAUAAUUGUUACUAAUUAGGAACAUCCGAGAGAAUAAUUUCGACAUAUAUCUGGAGAAUUGUAAAUCUGUGAUGGAUAACCAUGCUUGAGCUCAAUAAUCAAAAUAGAUAGUGUCAAAACCCUCAUUUUGUUAUAGCACUAUUAUGUGUUGCUUGUCAAAUUUGUACUUUGUUGUGAUACAUCUACAAGCAUUAAUAACAUUCACAAAUUUUGGUUGAACUAUGAUUUGCUUUACUCUUCCUAGAUAAGUUGGUGUGCUAUUUAACUAUAGUGGUGAUUACUUAGCUUGACGACGUUGUUGGGUUGAAAGUGAGGGUUCUCAAAUUGCAAAAACUCUUGAAUAGCCAUUUUGUCAAAAUACUACGUGGCCUUCUGACCACAACCCUACAACUUUAGCUUUCUAUUAUGUUACAGUGGCCUAUUCUGGCAAGUGUAUGAGGAAUUCGCAUUACGUCCUGGGUUUUGUAUGUGUUUAUUUGUACUUGCAAGAGAAGUUCAGUACGAAGUUUGGUGUCUCGAAGACAUUCCAUGGAAUGGUAUGAAAC
rnacentral:lncRNA from 1 species